rnacentral:rRNA from 1 species
GAUGAACGCUGGCGGCGUGCCUAAUACAUGCAAGUCGAGCGAACAGAUGAGGAGCUUGCUCCUCUGACGUUAGCGGCGGACGGGUGAGUAACACGUGGAUAACCUACCUAUAAGACUGGGAUAAUUUCGGGAAACCGGAGCUAAUACCGGAUCAUAUAUUGAACCGCAUGGUUCAAUAGUGCAUGACGGUUUUGCUGUCACUUAUAGAUGGAUCCGCGCCGCAUUAGCUAGUUGGUAAGGUAACGGCUUACCAAGGCAACGAUGCGUAGCCGACCUGAGAGGGUGAUCGGCCACACUGGAACUGAGACACGGUCCAGACUCCUACGGGAGGCAGCAGUAGGGAAUCUUCCGCAAUGGGCGAAAGCCUGACGGAGCAACGCCGCGUGAGUGAUGAAGGUCUUCGGAUCGUAAAACUCUGUUAUUAGGGAAGAACAAAUGUGUAAGUAACUAUGCACGUCUUGACGGUACCUAAUCAGAAAGCCACGGCUAACUACGUG